rnacentral:misc_RNA from 1 species
UCCUUGACUUGCUUUGCAUGGCAGGCUCCCCGCACGUACGUGCGGCUAACUGUURUGGGGCUGUCUUUUCACUGUCCCUUCGUUUAUCAUUUUUGAUCGUUUGGGGUGCUUGGCUUUGGUUGCCUGUGUGGUUUACCCUUGUGGGUAGCUCGAUUGUCCCGUCAUUACAAAUUUAGCUAGCUCGGUUGAUGCUGUGCAUCGAUGGGCGGCCGAGGCAUAGCAAAUUCCAUGCGUUGCGAUGCAAUUGUGCCUUGGAACUGCAAUUGGAUGUUUGCUGGGUCUCACGGAUAUCAGUCCCUACAUUGAGAGGUCUACGGGCUUCAAGCUUGCAGACCUAUGAGGGUGCCCUUGCACAUAUCAUUGUUGCUGAUGUUUCGCCUAACAUUUCGUGGUUUCUGCGUUGCGUUGGGGGAUCUCAUUCGGGGCAUGAUUAUGUGUCUGUGGAUAUGCCUUCUUGACCGAAUGACACGCGAUUGCUGGUUUGCAUCGUCGUUAGG